AGAUGAUUUAGAAAAUAAAGUAUAAGUAUUCAAGCACAAAAGCUAAACUAAACUAAAGAAAAAAUCAGAGUUAAGAGGAGUGAACAUCAUUGAAUAGAUUCACAUAUCGAUUCUAGUUUCGAGUUUUGGAUAAAAUAAAUAAAUUAAAAAGUUGAAGGUAAGUAUAGGACGUUAUCUUCGUAUAUUAGUUUGGUUGGUUUAGAAAUUGCAAAUCAAGAUGGCAAAAAUACUACAGUAACCGUUUGUGACUUCUGAUAAUAGGGAGCAGAUUUGUAGGUACAAAGUUAAGCUAUAACAUGUGAUAUGGUUCAGAUCCAUGACCGACUAAAAGAAAGACUUGAUUUAUGGUGAGAUGAACACAAUUUUAGUAAAUGAAAAGAAAUCCUGUUUAUCUCGAAAUUAUCUAAUAAAUAUAAUGACCUGGUGACUUUUGAAUCCCAGCCUGAAAGUCCAGCAGCUUCGGUGAGAGCAUCCUUCCAUCCUUGCGCUUUGACCAUGUCGUGCAUAAACCGCUGUUCAUGAUCAUCGAAUGAUUCUUUGUAUCUUUCUUCCUGCUUCCUAAUAGUUGAUGGAUCCACCUUGUAGAAAACAGGUAUCACAUCCCUUCCAAAUCUCUUCUUGCAUUCAAGUAUCUUACUGAGUUCAUUCAAGCACCAAGUGGAAGAUGCAUAGUUUUGGGAGAAAACGAUGACAUAAAUCUUUGAUUCUUCUAUUGCAGAGAGCAGUGCAGGUGAAAUUUCUUCGCCCCUGAGUAGUCUAUAAUCAAUAUAUGCUUCAAUGUUCUUCCUUUGCAGUGCUGCAUAAAGGUGGCUAAUGAAGUUGUCACGUGUGUCUUCGCCUCUGAAGCUGAGAAACACAUCAUGCCUUGUUAGAGAAGUAGACACGGCCAAUGAUGAAGGACUUUCUGACAUUGGAGUCAAUUUUCUCUCCUUUCUCUGCAAUUCUCAGGUCUCUUUCUUUGUACUGUUUCUACCACAAAUCUACUCUGCUGCUCUGGACUCAUUAUAAAACACAAGUCAACUUUUGAAAAAGUCUUUCAAUUUUCUUAACAUUCCUUUCACAGAUAUGUGUUCUGGUCAGACAUCGUAGUCAGCAGAAACUAAAGAAAAAGAAAAAUAUUAAUUUAAUAGAAUAGUCAACAAAUUGCAAAAUAAGUAUGGAAUCUAGAUUUAUAUCAUUAUCACGUGUGGAAACAUAGCUACGUCUUCUUAGAUAAAAUCCUUAUUUAAGUUUUAAUUGGGCCUUGUAGUGGGCUUUGUAAUCUGCUUUUCUUUUCUCCUAUAUUGCUUUAUAUAUACACCUCCACUUUUGCUUUCUACAUUUCAUUUUACAAAAUACAUUCUCUCAUUCUGUGUCAUUUAUCUUGCCUGAUUCCGUCCUCUCUUUAUCUUUUUCUCUCAUCCUCUUGCUUAUAAUUCUUUUGUUUUUAUUAAGAAAUACACUAUAAUUCUAAUUUAAUCAUAUACUAUAAUUAUGCUAAUCAUCAAUUAGUACUAUAUAUUAUUAAUGAUCUGCGUAUAUAUUAUUUAUGAUUUGCGGAUAAGACAAUAGAUUCAAUAAAUUCUAGAUAAAAUAAAUUUUAAAUGAAUAUGAUAAAAAUAUAUUAAAAAAUGAACUUUAUUGAAUCGAUUGAGUAUCUCUAUUUUAAAGACUUGUAAGAAUAAUAGGAAUAACAAUAUAUUAAUAUUAAUAUGUUUCUUAAUAAAUUUCAUACCCACUAUCUAUUUAUAAAUUAAUAUAUUAUAAAUAUCUAAUGAUGUCUUAUUUCUCUAACAUUUAAAAUUAAAUUUGUAGAUUCUACAAAACAUUACAUUUUGAUUUUAAUAUUUAUAAAAUAUUUUUUAUUCUCAUAUUUAAAAAACAAAACUUAGUUUGAGUGUAUUCCUUAGUUACUUACUACUCAUCACCAGCCGCCAACAGCGUGAUGGCUUCACUCUCCGUUCGCGCCACAACCACCUCUUAUCGGGCCUCCUUCCGGCCCAAGCCCACCUCGGGGCCCACCAGGGUCCGAAUGUCCCUCCGCGAUGACGGCCCCGCCAUCGCCGUCGUCGGCGUCACCGGCGCCGUUGGCGAGGAGUUCCUCUCCGACCGCGACUUCCCCUACCGUUCCAUCAAAAUGCUGGCCUCGCAGCUCUCCGCCGGCCGCCGCAUCAUCUUCGAGGACAGGGACUACGUCGUGGAGGAGCUCACAGCGGAUAGCUUCGACGGCGUCGACAUUGCGCUCUUUAGCGCCGGCGGUGGUAGACUAUAGCUCCGCAUUUGGGAUGGACGAGAAGGUGACGCUGGUUAUUCCCGAAGUGAAGCCCCAAACGAUGCAACACAUCAAAGUUGGAACGGGAAAAGGCGCUCUGAUUGCGAACCCUAAUUGCUCCACCAUUAUUUGCUUGAUGGACAUACUAAUUAAUAUCAAUUAUAACAAAUAAUGAACGUUUCUGGUCAUUUCUUGUACUUCGCGUUAUUUCAUAACAGUAGUUUUUUUAAAUAAAUUAAGAAAAAUAUUCAUUUUUAAAUUUAAUGCACUUUUAAAUAAUUUGACUAUUAUAAACAUAAUCACUUAUAAAAAUAAUUUUAGAGUAGUUGAUAUAAUUAAAAUAAAAUAUUUUAUUAUUAAAGUAAAAAUUAUAUAUAAAUAAAAAAUAGGUUUUAUUUUAAAAUAAUAUUCAAUUUUAUAAAAGUUUUUUCUUUUUGUCUUUUUUUUUUUAUAUUUCUAACCAUAUUUUUUCGUGAGGUUGAUAAUAGAAUCUCACUUUGGAUUUAUGGGAAUGAAUAAUGAAUUAGUUUUUAGUUUUCUAUUUAUCUAUAUAUAAAGGUGAUACGGUGACAAAUUCCAAAAUUUUAUUAUAAUGUUUGCUUUGUUGAUUGAAAUAGAUGUUAAUUGAUGAAAAAGAUUGAAAGUUUUAAACCCAAUACACCCCUCACGUCGAGGUUAGGUGGACUGAUAAGUUCAGCAAAAUCUCGUUAUGAUAGUUUUUAGAUGACUCUGAUACCACAAUAAAAAAUAAACUUUAAAUUUAACUCAACCUUACAAAACUAAUUUAUAAAGUGAGCUAUGUAUCCCUAGUCGAUGUAGAAUCUCUAACAAUGAUUUAAAUGAAUUGUUAUAUGCUUUAUGAAGUUUAACCUUUAUUUUUACUUGACAAAUUGGAUUUUAAUGAGGUAUAUAUGCUCUCAGCAUCAAAUCCGCUUAACGAAAUUUAUAUGUGUCAAGCGAAUUUGGACAUGUAGAGUUUGAUGUGCUCUUGGCCUCAAAUCCGCUCAAUGUUUUUUUUUCCUGUACUUAAGCAAACUUACAUCCAGAUUUUGGAGUACUUUCGAACUCAAAUUUGCUCAAAGAAAUUUUCUUAUGGUAAGCAAAUUUAAGCGGCUAUUGUUUGGAUGUUCUCUGCCUCAAAUUCGUUCAGUGAAAUUUUCCUGUGCUAAGGAGAUUUCUCUGGGCUUAAGCCCCAACUUCAUGGGCUCGACCCAUUUUGACGACAUUUGUCAUCUUUGCUUAGAUAUCUUUUGGUUUGUUUUCUAUAGGUCAUGAAAUUGAAUUAAAUCUUUUGAAAUUUAUCAUUUUGUAAAUUGUAAGUGAUUACAACUUUCUAAUGUUCAUGCAACAUGUGUUUAAAAUAAGUAAAUCUAACAAAUAAAUACUCGUUACAUAUUCAAUGGAAAGCUUUUUCUUUUAAUUCUUUGGUGUUUUAUUUUGAUGAUGUAUAUAUUUGAAAAUCAAUGUAUGAAUGGAUAAUGCUUUAUGAUAUAAUAAUAUUACAAUGUAAAUGUUAUUUAUAUACUAUCACAUGAUAAAUUAAAAUUUAAUAAGAUAGUUAAGGAUGUUAUAAUUAUUCUUUUAAUUUAUUUUAUUUCACUGUAUAUUUAGGUGUAUUACGUAGAAUGUAUAGUUAAAAAAAUAAUGUUAUUUUGAAAUUUAAAGAAUGACGUAUAGAAAUAAACAAGCUUUUGUUAAAAUUAUACUAUUUGAAAAGGAACACAGAACAAUAUUGACAAUUAUACUUUUACUUAUUACUUAUUUUAAUUUAUUAUAUUCAUGAGUAUUAUUUUUUUUAAACAUAGAUAUUGGAUAAAAAAUAUAAAUAACAUUUAUUUAUUUCAAAUUUAAAAAUCUUUAAAAUAAAAUUAAAUAAUAUUUUUAAUUAAGAUGUGUUUUUUAACAAUUUUUUUAAUUUAAAAAAUAAUUAAUUCGGAGGAUGAUUAAAGAAAUAUUAACAAAUUAUUUCUGCGUUUAUAAUAAACCUUCAAUAAUAUUUGUACUUUCUAGCAUAUAGAAUACUUAAUGGAUCCCUUUGUGAUUUUUCUUUUCUAAAGUGCAAUUGAUAUUUUAAAUGUUUUUCUAUUUAAUUUUCCUUUCUUAAUGACACAUUAAAGGGUUCAGUGCACGAUUAAUUAUUCUCACCUUAGAUUUCAUUCAUCUCAUUCCAUUUCCACACUCAAAUCAUUCUCACAUUUUUUUCUACCUAUUUCACAAAGUUUUAUGUAAAAUAUGGAAAUUAAACUAAAAGAACCCUACUUAUAUAUUAAUAUUCAACAACUUAAAAUAUUACUAUGCAAAUUAAUCUUUCUUAAUAAUGUUAUGUAAAAAUUAAAAUGUAGUUUAGUCAUUCAUACUUAGAUGGAUAAAGAUGGUUUUAGAAAAAAAAUGCAUUUUAUUUCAAAUCUAUUACUUAUAAAAUGAGUUAUAAAAUGAGGUUUGUGAUAUUUAUUCAAAAUUUAAAUUAUAUUAUGCAUUUAUGGUUUUAUGUUUUUAAAGAAAUCAGAAACUUAGAAAAGCUCCUAAAAACUACUGAAAUCCAUAAGAUGAUAAUUAAUAAACAUCCUCUCUUAAUAACAUAACAUAUAAGAUAGGAGUCUUUACACUUAUAUUCUUCAAACAAUUAUAAGCUGUCUUCAACUUUACUGUUAAACUACAAUUAUAAAGAAUUAACAAUCUCACACACCAACAACAUUUAUAAGCCAUCACUCACAUGAAACAAGGUGCCUCAAUGUGAAAAAACCAAGAUCAAUAAGAAAUGAGGUUCCACUUAACCAAGCUGAGAAUUUUCUGGUUUUCCAACUCCAUGCACAAACCUAAUACAAUGAUAUGAUAUUCAAUCAGCAUUAAUUGGCAUAAACAGGUACAUUGUUGUAAAACUGGGAUUAUAAGGUUCCAUAGGAUGGAGAAAAGUAAGAAGAGGAUUUACCAAUUACCCUUUCAAAUGGAGCUCCUCAGGAUUUCAUAAUGCCUUCACUGCAAAUGCAACCCAAAUAUGCUAAAAAAGUUAAUGAAACUAUAUAUGAAGAGUUUCAAGAAAAUGCAACUCUGGGACAACAGAGAAACCCAUCUCAUGCUGAACAGAAACAUCAAACUAUAUCUAACAAUAACUUAGAAAUCUUUGUCAACAAUUGAACGAACCCACUCCUAAAAUGCCAUUGAAAAUGUAAAUAAAACAAAAUAAAUUAAAAACGAGAAAUUCAUAAUAAAAAUUCAACGUGUUGAAACUUAUGAUAACUCAGUUUAGAUCCUGACCAAUGAAAGACUAAUUAGCAGAAGAGGAAGAGACUAGUUGACAGGGUAGCUUUCGGCCUUUCUCUUCCUAUCUUUCCUUGUUUCUCUUGAAGACUGUGCAACAUUGCUUCCACUGGAUUCUUCAAUGUCAACAUCACCACCAUAUUUAUCAUCUUUCUUUUUGGUAUAAAGGGGGCAUAUGCCGCAUUCUUUUAUUGUGAUGUCUGAUGCCAUCACUCUCACACCUGAUUUGUAACUAUACAGACUGAUCUCAAAAGUGAAGCUGCGAGCAUCACAGACCCUAAGGCUCUUGCGGCUCGCCGUUAGGGACUCCAUGUUAAAUUUCCACACGAAUGUGUGAUCUUCAUCAACACAUCUGUGUUCACCAUUCCAUUUGAAAUAGCUGUUUAACACAUCAUUAUUUAGAAUGAUCUGUGUGCCAUCAUCAUCAUCAGAUUCAAAUUUUAGACUGUAACCAAAAGAACCAUAUCUACAUUUAACAGCUUUCGUAUCUAACACUCCAAAAACCACACACAAAGCGAAACCAGUGAGCCUAUCAUCGCUGCAGAAACUUAAAUCUUCAUUUAUAGUCACUGAAUGUCCCUUCCCACGAGAAUGGAACCAACGAGGAACUGCAUUCCCUGGAAAACAGAAGAACACAGACCUAUAUGCAUCGUCGGUCAUCCUAACCCAUGCAUCCUCCUCAAUGUUAGCACGAGCACCUGAAUCCAGUUGCUGAGCAUUGGUGAAAUGAAAUUUGAAGACACCCUCUUUGGAGUUUGAGAAGUUUGGAACAAGAGAAUUUGACAUCACUCUUCUGAUGGAUGGGCAAUCCAAUGCCACGAGUUGUUUUAGAAAUGGUGGAAUCUGUGGGAUGGAUUCAAGUUUUUUGCAGUCGCUUAAAUCGAGCGAGUUCAAGCUUGAAAGAUGAGCAAUGCUCUCAGGAAGGUUCACGAUUCCGCUAUCACGCAGUGACAGUUCCAUUAAUGACGUCAAGCGACCGAUGUGGCUUGGGAUUUCUGUUAAUUUGGCACACCCCGAACAAUCAAGUUUAGAGAGAAGCUUCAGAUUAACAAUGGAGUUUGGAAGUGACUCGAGAUGAAUGCACUCUUGGAGUUCCAGGGAUCGAAGAUUAACGAAAUUGCCAAAUGAGGAAGGCAGUUCUUUAACAGCCGUAGAUGUUAAGUUAAUGUGAGCAAAAGUAUGAGCCGGCUCCGCGAUCUCUGGGAAGGUCCUCAGCCUUGAGCAACCACGCAAAUCAAGGUUCCUCAACUUCAAAUUGAAAAUGGUGCUUGGAAAAGUUUGAAGUGAAUUACAGUGGGUAAGGUCUAACUUGCAUAGUCUGGUGAGGGUUCCAAUGGAAGAUGGAAUAAUCUCAAGAUUCAAGCAACUGCGCAAACUCAGUCCUUGAAGCCCUACCAAACGGCACAAGGAUGAAGGUAGUGCCUGUAUGGCUGUGCCGUCUAAGAUGAGCACCACUAGAUCUUCCAACGUGUCCUGAAUCUCGGGUAAAUUUUCCAAUUUUGAGCAACCACUGAGAGAAAGUUUCUUUAUGAAUUUCAUAUCAGAAAGGUGAAAUGGAAAGAUUGUAAGGGAAGAACAGUGAGAGAGAUCUAAGUAACAGAGCUUCUUGCGAUUAAAGUUGAAGUGACAGAGCUUCAUGAGUUUUGUGAACACUUUAAAACAUAUAGUAUCAUUAGCCACUUCUUCUUCCUUAUAUCUGUCAAAAGUAAUUGAGAAAAUUUCACUGGAAGUUGGGAAAAAAGGACCACGGUGUCGACGUUUACCACGCCGUCCUGAGAAAUUCGUCAUAUCCGGUUCCUGACGAGGGAAUAUUGAGAAAGUUUGAAGUUGACGCUCCAGUAUCACAUGAGGGAAUCUGGGUUUACUGAUCGAAAACAUAUUAAGCUUCGGACAACGGGAAAGAGUAAUCCAUCCUGGUGAUGUGGAUAAAAUGUUGCUGGGAAUAUUUACACUAUUCAGAUCAUUACAAUCAUCUAAACAUAAACAACUGAGCUUGUUGAGGAAUAUCCAAGAGUGAACUUCAAUCAACUUUUCACAACUUUUCAGAAUUAUUUCUUCAAUAUUUGGUGACAUAGAAAGGUCUGGUAUUCUAGUAAGUUUCCGAGAAUAACUCAGGUCGAGCCUUUUCAAGUUGGGUAAAUUCUGCCACAAAUAGGAAAUGAAUGAGGUAACAAAUAAAAACUACUUUAUCUAUUUUUCUUCGGUAAAAUAUUAGCUACAUCAUCUAAUCUAUUCACUUUAUAUUUUACAUUACUUCAAAACCACUGUUAAAAAAAAUCACACUGUCAACUAACAAAACUGUGGCUAUAAAUUUAAUAGUUAUUAUAAAAAACCACAAAAUUUAACGUGUUUUUGUUCCCUACCUCAAAUUACAUCCUAAUAAUUUGAACCUAAACUUAUUAUGUAUUUAAAAACUGAUGAUAGUAAUUUAUAAUCGAUGACAGUGUGGAAAUACUUUAUAUCAUGCAUGUAUCAACUGACAAAAUAAAAUGGUGUUGUCUGAUGAUAGUAAUUUAUAAUCGAUGACCAUCUUUCCAUAAUUUAUUUUAUUAAAUACAUAAUUUGUUGUAUAUUAUAUUGAAGUUUAUGUUAUAAUAAUAAAAAAAUACUUAAUUAGGUUUUGAGUAUCCAGUAAGACAUUUUUAAUUAAUUUUUUUAUUAAAUUUUUUAAUUAUUUAAGUACUCAAAUUUUUUAUAUUUCCAAUAGAAUAUAUGUCAUUUUUAAUUUUUGAGUUAAUUGGGUGAUACAGAAAUUAUCUUGUCACAUGAUCUUACUUACUUGUCUUUAUGUAUUAAGGAAUAUGAAGUUUUAUGAUUGGCCAUUAGACUAUAUACCUAAAAAGAGGAUGCAAACUCUUCUACAUGCUACUAAAUUUAUAACUAUCUUUAAUUAGAAACAUGCUGAGUAUGAUUCUUAUGAUAUAUGUAUAACUGUGUGGUUCAAAUAAAAGAAAUUUCAAAUCGAAUAAUGUGGAGAAGCACAAAGGAAUUGCAAAUGAAAACCAGUAGAUGUAUAAUACAGAAAACAUGCUUGUAUAACUUAUUUUUGUCUUUGAAAGUUUAGAACACAAAGAAACAUAGAUAGCUUGAAAAACCUGAUCUCCUUCCCAGAGUUGUUCAAGAUGGCAGUAUGGCAUUUCGAGGGUCACUAGAUUUUGCGGGCAAAAGUUUGGAGGCAAAGAUCUUUGAGGGAAAUGUUUCCAAUAAAGAAUCUUUAGAGUGUCUGGCAGACCUACAAUAGAUGAUUCAAGAGACACAUUUGACGUGUAUUUUGGCGUGUUGAGCAUAAGCAUCCUAAGAUUGUCCAUCUUUUCGAAACUUUGUGCAUGUACUACAACUUCAUUUACUUUGCUCGUAUCUAGUGAUAUACACUGUAUUGCAUCUAACCCCUGAAAGUAAAUCAAUGUAAUUAGAAAAAAAAAGCAUGAAAUGUUGCUGUAUGGUUAUGGGCAGAUUGAUGAGAUAUGGUAACCUUCGGAUACUGAUCAUGAAGUGACAUAAAGGAGAAGGAAGCGUUACUGAAGGAGAGUAAUGGAAAUUUAUGAGAAAUUAAGCCGUUGGUUACAGAGACUAGGUAGGGACCGAGUCAUCUAUACCAGGGACCGAGUCAUCUAUAAGAGGAGGCAGAGACGAAGAGUAGGGGUAGGAAAAAAAGAUAUGGUUUUUAUAUUAUCUUUGAUGCUCUAGCUAAGGAUCAUCUGUCCUAAAACAGUUGCAUUUCUGGAUGUUUAAUGACAGCUCAAUAGUUUGCAGUUUUUUCACAAAGUAACAACAGAAUAUACCUUGUUUUUUCUUAAAACAUCACAAAUUUCCUCAGCAUUAAACAGUCGGCUGCGUUUUCCAGGAUGCCGACGACACUCUUUACGAACAAUUUCUUGACCCAUUUCUUGUAUUAGAUCGUGCAUCAUAAUAAUACCAUUAAAGACAGAUAUUAGGCACCUAUCUUUGAGAACAUCCAUUACAAUCUUAGUAGAGAAACCAUUGCAGUCAUCAAGUAUUUCUGCCAGCACAAUCUCCUGGUAUCCUCUAUAAAAGCAAGCAAUGUCAAGAAAUAUAUUCUUCUCCACCUCCUCGAGCCCAUCAUAACUUAAUUUUAAUACAUUGAAAAUACCAUGAUGUUGGCCCUUUUUCAACUUUUGCAACUGACUUUCCCAUGCUUCUUUUGUUCUGUCACAAAGCAAUGAGCCCAAAAUCUGGAGAGCUAACGGAAUCCCUUUUGCAUAACUCAACACCUUUCCUGACAGUUCCUUGUAAGCAAUUUCUUCUGAAGAUUUUUGUUUAAAAGCAUGUAAACUAAAAAGUCUUAGAGAAUCAUCAGAAUUCAACUCCUUAACUUCGUAGAUAUCAUCAGCUCUAGCAUUCUUAAGCACUUGUCUGUCUCUACUGGUCAUAAUGAUUCUACUGCCCUGCCUAAAACUAUCACUCCAUCCUAUUAAUUUUUGAAGUUGAGCUGAAUCGGUAACAUCAUCAAGAAUGAGGAGAGCCUUUGUCCGUUUGAGCCUUUCUUUGUAAUAUGGUAAAGAAGAAGAUUUCUCUUCCUUUAGAAGCUCAGACAGAUAUUUUGUUCUGAUACUAUCUAUUCCAUCUCUUUGUAUUUUUUCUUGAACGUCUAAAACAAGGCUGCUGGAAUCAAACUGCAAUGCCAAUUUCUGAUAUAUUUGAUCACAAAUUGUACUUUUUCCUAUUCCUCCCAUGCCCCAAAUUCCUAUGAUCCGAACAUCCGGUGACUCAGGAUGCAACAAGGACUGAAUUCCUUCAAUAUGUUUUUGAAUGCCGAUGAUUCCUUGAUCAUAACUGGUGGAAUAAAGAUUCAAUUUUCCCAAAAUAUCUUCCACAAUUUUUUCAACAAGUUUGUGGUCAUUCCUGGCAGAUGAUUUAGAAAAUAAAGUAUAAGAAUUCAAGCACAAAAGCUAAACUAAACUAAAGAAAAAUUCAGAGUCAAGAGGAGUGAACAUCAUUGAAUAGAUUCACAUAUCGAUUCUAGUUUCGAGUUCUGGAUAAAAUAAAUAAAUUAAAAAGUUGAAGGUAAGUUUAGGACGUUAUCUUCCUAUAUUAGUUUGGUUGGUUUAGUAAUUGCAAAUCAAGAUCGCAGAAAUUCUACAGUAACCGUAUGUGACUUCUGAUA
rnacentral:lncRNA from 1 species